rnacentral:snRNA from 1 species
AUCUUUGCGCUUGGGGCAAUGACGCAGCUAAUGAGGUUCUAACCGAGGCGCGUCUAUUGCUGGUUGAAAACUAUUUCCAAACCCCCUCUUCGGCCUGGGCUUGACCCUGACCGUCGAGAAUUUCUGGAAGGGCUCCCUUCGGGGUAAAGCC